ACAAAACCCAGAGACUACAAAACAGGAAUGACUUGUGACUCCUGUCGAGACAUUUGUCUGAGGAGGGCAGGAGCAUGAAUUUCGAAAUAGAGAUAGUGAAAGAUGUAACAUCUUAUUUUAUUUUAUUUUAUUUUAUUUUAUUUUAUUUUAUUUUAAUACUCUCCAUUUCCACUCUAGAUCCUAAGCCUAAAAGAAGCUACCGGAAUAACAAAAGAGUGAGAGAUUUCCUGUCAUUGCUCACAGCCUCUGCACCUUGAUGGCCUCUCCUGAGUACCAGCAGUGACUCCACAUAUCCAGCCUUAUGAUGAGUGCUCUGCAGAGUGCACUUCAGCUCAUGCUGACAUGACAGAAGUUAUCCAGUGAACGUCAUGCUCUUCUCUCUUCUCCGCGGCUUGGUCUCAGGGGAAGGUCUCAACAGCAAAGAGAACAUCAAAGUACAUUCAGUGUCUAAAGCACCAGAUACUCCAAUGUGGCAACAGCUCUUAGAGUAACACAGAAC
ensembl:lncRNA